rnacentral:rRNA from 1 species
UAGCAAUACGGAGCGGCAGACGGGUGAGUAACGCGUGGGAACAUACCCUCCGGUUCGGAAUAACUCAGGGAAACUUGAGCUAAUACCGGAUACGGCUUAGCGGCGAAAGAUUUAUCGCCGGAGGAUUGGCCCGCGUCCGAUUAGCUAGUUGGUGAGGUAACGGCUCACCAAGGCGACGAUCGGUAGCUGGUCUGAGAGGAUGAUCAGCCACAUUGGGACUGAGACACGGCCCAAACUCCUACGGGAGGCAGCAGUGGGGAAUAUUGGACAAUGGGCGCAAGCCUGAUCCAGCCAUGCCGCGUGAGUGAUGACGGCCUUAGGG